rnacentral:rRNA from 1 species
AUGGCCACGACGGUCGGCCCCAUACGACGCCAUGAGAAAACGGCGGCACCCACGUACGCGAAAGACAAUGAUUUCUUCACUUUGGAGUUCUUUCAUGGAGGAUUUUUCCAUGGCAGCGGAAGAAACAGGGCCUAUCUGAAUGGGAAAAAGACUUGUUAUGAUUUUUGCGACACUCAGUGUGUAUGCAUGAAGAUGCUUGAAGAUUUGAUAGAGCAUAUUGGGUAUGAGAUGGCUGGUAGGGUUUCCAUGUACUGGUUGCUACCUGGUUCUCAAUUGAAUGAAGAUGGUGCAAGGCUGUUAUCUAAGGAAGAGGAUGUUGUUGAGAUUGCGAGAAUGGUAAAAAGAGGGCACCGGUAUUUGAUGAUUUUUAUGGAUCAUGAAGACAGCUACAGUGGUGGUGGAGGACAAGCAUGGAGUGAUGUGGUUGCUACUCCAUCGGCAUAUUUACCUCCUGUUAUCAGUCCUAAGAAUAAAAGCAUUGGUAAUGUUAGUGGUGAAGAGGAAAGCAUAGUUGAUGGUAGUUAUGUUGACGACAACACUCUAUGUGAGGCCAAUAAAUUUGUGAGCAUUGAAGAAGUUGUUAGGUUGAGGCCAAGAGCAAAGCAAGGUAAUAUUGAUGAAGAAGGAUGUGGCAGUGAUAAUGAUAGUGAAGAUAGUGACUAUGUUCCCGAGAUUGUAGAUAGUGAUUAUGAUUUGGAGGAUGGUGACGAGGACUUGGUGCAGGAGCAACUACAUUCUGUUAGUGAUAUGAAAGGGAAGCAAGUGGUUGAAGAUUGUAACUCUGAAGAUGAGAAAUUAGAAGCUCCGGAAUCGGAUGAGGAUGAGAUGAAGUUCAAUUUCAAAUCUUUUACAGCCGAAGAUAUGCAUGAUCCAAAGUUCCAUGUGGGGCAACUAUUCUCAUCAGUUGAUUUGCUAAGAAGAGCAGUCAGAGAGUAUAGUGUGAAAGAGAGAGUGAGCAUCACAUUUCCCAAGAAUGAUAAAACUAGGAUUGGUGCUAAGUGUGAGGAUGGAUGUCCAUGGUAUCUUUAUGCCUCAUUGGACAAAAGGACAAAUUCAGUUAUGGUGAAAACCUUCAAUGGUGUGCAUCAUUGUAGCAAGAAGUGGCAAGUGAGGGCAUUUACUGCCAAGUACAUUGCUAACAAGUAUGUGGAGAAAAUAAGAGCUAAUGAGAAGAUAACCUUGAAGGGAUUGGCAGCACUUGUGCAAGAAGACUGUAACAUGACAAUUAAAAGGGGGAAACUAGGGAGGUCCAGAGGACUAGCUUUCAAUAUUAUAUAUGGUGAUGAAAUAGCAUAG